rnacentral:rRNA from 1 species
UGGGGAAUAUUGGACAAUGGGCGAAAGCCUGAUCCAGCCAUGCCGCGUGUGUGAAGAAGGUCUUCGGAUUGUAAAGCACUUUAAGUUGGGAGGAAGGGCAGUAAGCGAAUACCUUGCUGUUUUGACGUUACCGACAGAAUAAGCACCGGCUAACUCUGUGCCAGCAGCCGCGGUAAUACAGAGGGUGCAAGCGUUAAUCGGAAUUACUGGGCGUAAAGCGCGCGUAGGUGGUUCGUUAAGUUGAAUGUGAAAGCCCCGGGCUCAACCCGGGGAACGGAAUCAAAACCGGGGGGGUAGGGGAAGGGCGAAGGGUGGGGGAAUUUCUGGGGUGCGGGUGAAUGGGGAGAUAUAAGGAGGGAACACCAUUGGGAAGGCGGACAACUUGGGCUAUAAUGACAACGGGGUGGGAAAGGGUGGGGAGCAAACAGG